UCCGGUUUUGUACCGGCAGUCUCCUUAGAUAUGCAACUAAGGACAAGGGUUGCGCUCGUUGCGGGACUUAACCCAACAUCUCACGACACGAGCUGACGACAGCCAUGCAGCAUCUGUCUAUCUGUCCCGAAGGAGGCACCCCUUUCAGAGUGUUGCAAAUAGAUGUCAAGCCCAGGUAAGGUUCUUCGCGUUGCAUCGAAUUAAACCACACGCUCCGCUGCUUGUGCGGGUCCCCGUCAAUUCCUUUGAGUUUUAGUCUUGCGACCGUACUCCCCAGGCGGGCUACUUAAUGCGUUAGCUUCGGCACAGGAGGGGUCAACACCCCCCACACCUAGUAGCCAUCGUUUACUGCUAGGACUAA
rnacentral:misc_RNA from 1 species